AUGCAAGCAAACUUCCAUCAAAAUCAGCACAAUCAUUUUCUGGGUCCUCUACAACAUCAUGAGCAAGAGAACAAUGUCCAGCCUCAGCAACCUGAUCUGAAUCUCCAGCUAGCACCUAUUUUAGUAGAAGACAAUGAGGAAGAGGAUCUAGAAAUGCCUGGGUGGGGUCAUUGGGCCCUGCCUGCUGUGAAUGAACUUGUUGAUCAGGAACUUCAUGCUGGUGAAUUUAUGCAGCUCCAGGAGAUUAUGGAACCCAUGGAGGAAGCUCAGGAGCAUCAGGAGAUCAUUGGUCAAGGUAAUAGUAACAUCACUGUUUCUCAGGAGCCACCUAAUGACAGUGUUGAGACAACUGCUUCUGCUAAUGGGCCUUUGGCGCCAUUUCUACCUGAUUUGAAUUUGGUGGUUGGGCCUUCUGAGUAG
rnacentral:rRNA from 1 species